rnacentral:rRNA from 1 species
UACAGAGGUCCCAAGCGUUGUUCGGAUUCACUGGGCGUAAAGGGUGCGUAGGCGGUCGGGUAAGUCUGAUGUGAAAUCUCACAGCUUAACUGUGAAACUGCAUUGGAUACUAUCCGGCUAGAGGAAUGGAGAGGAGACUGGAAUACUUGGUGUAGCAGUGAAAUGCGUAGAUAUCAAGUGGAACACCAGUGGCGAAGGCGAGUCUCUGGACAUUUCCUGACGCUGAGGCACGAAAGCCAGGGGAGCAAACGGG